rnacentral:rRNA from 1 species
GAUGAACGCUGGCGGCGUGCCUAAUACAUGCAAGUCGAGCGAACGGACGAGAAGCUUGCUUCUCUGAUGUUAGCGGCGGACGGGUGAGUAACACGUGGAUAACCUACCUAUAAGACUGGGAUAACUUCGGGAAACCGGAGCUAAUACCGGAUAAUAUUUUGAACCGCAUGGUUCAAAAGUGAAAGACGGUUUUGCUGUCACUUAUAGAUGGGUCCGCGCUGCAUUAGCUAGUUGGUAAGGUAACGGCUUACCAAGGCAACGAUGCAUAGCCGACCUGAGAGGGUGAUCGGCCACACUGGAACUGAGACACGGUCCAGACUCCUACGGGAGGCAGCAGUAGGGAAUCUUCCGCAAUGGGCGAAAGCCUGACGGAGCAACGCCGCGUGAGUGAUGAAGGUCUUCGGAUCGUAAAACUCUGUUAUUAGGGAAGAACAUAUGUGUAAGUAACUAUGCACAUCUUGACGGUACCUAAUCAGAAAGCCACGGCUAACUACGUG